rnacentral:lncRNA from 1 species
UUCAAAAGUAAUAAAUAUGAUAAUUUAGGUAAUUGACUUUUAUAUAUUCCUUUAUAAUCUAUAAAACUAAAAUGAUAUUAAAUUUUCUCCAAAAAAUAAAAAUAAUAAUAGAAGUAGAGCAAAGAUAUUUACAAUUAAUUAUAAUAAAUCGUAUUAUUUGUAUAUUCUUUUGUGUUGCACAGAUACCAAAUUGAUCAUUUUAUAUCGAUAACUAGAUAAUUCUAAAGACUAAAACUAAAUGAACAUCUCGAUUAUAUCAACCAUUUGGUGACAGAGAAUAUUCACCUUGUCAAAUGAGCAUACAUUUAUUAGUGUUGAUUAAGAAUAAUAGUAAACAUUUAAAAUUUUAUACAUAAUACUAUUAUAUUUUAAAUAAAAAGUAGGAUAAAUUUUAAAUUAAUGAUAUCAAAAAUUUAAUAACAGACAACACCAACUUUAAAACAUAGAUUUUAAAAAAAGGAUUAUGAAUUUACAAGACUACUUAGAUUUUUUUUUUGUAUUUUUGAAAUAUUAAACAUUGAUUCUUAUAAUGAUCAUUGAUGUAAACUAUAAUAGAGUUAUUUUUACACCUUCUAAUAAAAUAUCGAUUUAUAAGAAAAAAUAUUUAAUUCUUCAUUGGAUAUAAAUUCAUAAAUGUAUGG